CAAAUAACAAGUAACCCAAAGUAUACAUGCAACAACCAAUAUAUUUACCAGGUCAAGCCUCGUAAACAAUAAUAUCCGUCAAAAGGAUACACUGACCAAAUAAACAACAAUAAAUUCUCAUCAGAAAUUUAGCAUAGAACAGCCAGUGUUAUCACUCAUAUAGGCACAUAGAAGCGAGAAGGAAAGAGAGGAUACAAUUGCCACAUCAAACAAGUUGGGAUUGAGAGCCAAACCCAAAAUGAAAAUGACAAUUCAAAUAUGCACUUUGCAGAUGGAUUUAAUUCUACAAAAAACUUUGGUAGAAAUUAGAUAAUAUGGUCAGUAAGCGUUUCAUCUAGUGCGCCAAUUUCUUAAGGUGUUGAAAUGU
rnacentral:misc_RNA from 1 species